CUACGAACGCCAUCCCCGGGCAGGGAAAGCCGCUGUCCCCUUGUCCAGGCGCCUCCUGACGGCCAAGGCAGAAGUUCUUGGAGCCCGGAUGCAGACGCUACAAUGGCACAACCCUGUGGCAGCGAGGGGAAGAGCAUUAUAGUAUUUUUGGCCUGCAAACUGUCUGCAUGUGCCACGCGGCAGCUACUCACUUUGCGCACUAACAAGUUGAUUCGUGUUUGAGAAGACUUUUUUUUUUAUUAUUUAUGUCUGACAGGAAAAAGACCUUAUGCUCUAUAAUGGACCAUUUUGGGUAGAAAGGAGCUGCUGCCUGCCAUGCAUCUGAACAACAUCCCAACACUGGAAGGUUUAUGAACCCAGACAAACCUUGCAUCCUAAUGGCCACCUUCCAGCGUGAGGACUAAGCAAGAGCAGUGACGCGUUGGUGCCUGGAGCACUCAGGAACAUUCCCUCCCAAGAGUGUCUUGACAGAGGACAGUCCUAAUCACCUGCACUAUGGUUUUGUUUCGUGAUUUCUGGAUUAACUUCCAGAAUUUCAGAUCACUUAGAACACUUCUAUUAACAUGCCUUUGAGACAACCAAGUUGAUAGCAUUACACACACGUUAUGUGCAUGCUGGAUAGCAUGGAGGGCCUCCAGAUCACUCAGAGUCCUCGUACAGGAUGCGCAUCCGCUGUGCGGGGCCGAAGCCCCGGGGAGGAGUGAAGCUGGGACGAUGCCGGCCGGCGUCCCGUCCUGUCGCUGUCACUCAGAGCCGGGCAAGCGGGGAAGAGCGGCGCACGGCAGCACCUUGGACAGAGCCACACCGCGCACUGCCCAGCCCAGGUGCUCUGCUAUUGCCUAUGAUACCCGUUGUACUGCCGUGGCCUUUGCGUGCGGGAAACAACCGCCGUGGGGUACCAACGACUCUCUCCGGGGUCCCUCAGCCGGCUCCCGCCAUGCCCAGCCCCGCGGCGGGGACGGCCACAGGAGGCGGCGGAAAGCGGCGGCUCCGCGAUCCCACCAUCGCUGCGCUCCUGAGGGAAAGCG
ensembl:lncRNA